UACGUAGGGGGCAAGCGUUGUCCGGAUUUAUUGGGCGUAAAGAGCGUGUAGGCGGCCAGACAGGUCCGUUGUGAAAACUCGAGGCUCAACCUCGAGACGCCGAUGGAAACCGUCUGGCUAGAGUCCGGAAGAGGAGAGUGGAAUUCCUGGUGUAGCGGUGAAAUGCGCAGAUAUCAGGAAGAACACCCGUGGCUAAGGCGGGUCUCUGGGCCGAUACUGACGCUGAGAAGCGAAAGCGUGGGGAGCGAACAGG
rnacentral:rRNA from 1 species